GUACUUGCUGGAGCAGCACAUAUACUAAAAUUGGAACAUACAGAGAUUAGCGUGGCCCCGUGCAAGGAUGACCUACAAAUUCCUGAAGAGUUCCAUAUUAUU
rnacentral:snRNA from 1 species